UACGUAGGGUGCGAGCGUUAAUCGGAAUUACUGGGCGUAAAGCGUGCGCAGGCGGUUUUGUAAGCCAGAUGUGAAAUCCCCGGGCUUAACCUGGGAAUGGCAUUUGGGACUGCAAGGCUGGAGUGCGGCAGAGGAGACUGGAAUUCCUGGUGUAGCAGUGAAAUGCGUAGAUAUCAGGAGGAAGACCAGUGGCGAAGGCGGGUCUCUGGACAGUUCCUGACACUGAGACACGAAGGCCAGGGGAGCAAACGGG
rnacentral:rRNA from 1 species